AAUGAUGUUGCACGGGUCACCAGGAAAAUGUGGCGCCGCUCUCAAGAACAAGAAUUCUCACUUCAUAACGGAAGUGAUUGAGUAAAGAAUGAGUGGAAAAGUAAGGGUCAUCGGGGGUUGCUGGAGCCUAUCUCAGCUGCACACGGGCGGAAGGCGGCGUACACCCUGGACAAGUCGCCACCUCAUCACAGGGCCAACACAGAUAGACAGACAACAUUCACACUCACAUUCACACACUAGGGCCAAUUUAGUGUUGCCAAUCAACCUAUCCCCAGGUGGAUGUCUUUAGGGGUGGGAGCAAGCCGGAGUACCCGGAGGGAACCCACGCAUUCACGGGGAGAACAUGCAAACUCCACACAGAAAAAUCCCAAGCCCAGGAUAGAACCCACGACCUUCGUGUUGUGCACAAUGAAUGGUAAUUUAGGGGAACAUCUCUAAAAAAAGCUUCAACAGUUGUGAACAUUUCCUUUGAUAAUUUUCACCUUCAAACCAGCAACAGGCACUUCUGCUUUCAGUAUGAUCGACUUUUAUUUGUCCCACAAUGAAGAUAUAGCGAACUCAUUCAAAUUCUAUGAAAAUUUUAGUAGUUGCACAGGGGCCCACAGGCAGAGAGAGAAAGAGGCAUGAGUGGUUGGCAAAAACUACAAUGCCAAUAAUUUUUGCAACAGUGGAUAUAAUUAAGUGUGAAAACAAGUUGCAGUUUAUCAAGACUAAGGGAACUUAUCUUUGUUUUCACAAUUUUUGAAUCAAUACUGUUACCUCAAAAGUUGAGCAGCAAUAACUUUUGCGGGUGUUAUUGAAUGGGAAUACUUGUUGCAUAUGUGCAAUUCCAUGUGUCUACUGGACCCAAUUCCUGGAAAACUCAGCAAAAGAACUGUGUGUGAUAUUAGGACCCAUCCAUCCAUUUCCUACCGCUUGUCCUUUUCGGAGUCACGGGGGAUGCUGGAGCCUAUCUCAGGACCAUCAGUGCUAAAUAUUAUUAACCUAUCACUCUCCACUGGUAGUGUUCCGUUAGCUUUCAAAACAGCGGUCAUUCAUCCUUUGCUUAGAAGACCUAACCUCAAUUCCGACCUCGUGCUAACUACAGGCCGGGGUCUCACCUCCCGUCUAUCUCAAAAAUCCUAGAAAAAAAUUGUUGAGCAACAACACAUAAAUGAAUACUUGGCGUUUGACAAUCUGAUGUUACUGUAUAUGAAAAUGCGUAAUUGAAAAUACAUAUAAAUUAUACACUGUGGAAAUAUCUAAAACUAUUGCUAUUUUGUAAAGGGUGAAUGAAUUGCUAAAUCAUAAAGCAUUAUCUAUUUUGUAUAACUCAGAUUGUUCAAUAUGUAACAUAUUGUAUUGAAGUUUGGGGUAGUGCCUGCAAAACAAGUGUGUACAUGUUCGAAAUAAACUAAAGAAAGAAAGAAAGAAUCUCCUUUUUAAAGACAAGAGCCGUCGGAAUCAUUCCUGGAAAUACAUAUAGAGAACCCACAAACCCAAUAUUCAAACAGUUAAACUUGUCAAAAUUUCAUGGAUCGGUAAGGCGAAAUAUCUUCAAAAAAUCGUGCAAAAAGCACAUACGGUAACAACAAUCAUAACAGAUUUGUCAAACGAGAAAGUAUUUAUAAUUUAAAAGGAACUGCAAUCUUUUUUAAAUUGAGAUUUAAAACAGUGACAAUGGAAAUAGUGGAAUAAACAAUGUUUCAGUGUUUCAAAAAGAUAUAACAAUCCUGAUGUAAAAGAUAUGAUUUGGAAUAAAUGAUUGUUUUCAUGCUGUUGUAUGUAAUAAAAUCUAAGUUUCUGCAGGUAUAAUCAGCAAGUCUAACUUAAUGCUUUCUUAAUGCCUUUUCUAAU